GGAUCAAUGAUGACUCCCUCAUGUGCAUUCCUUGAAAAUCUGAACAUGAUGAGUGAGAACACACUACUGUAGUCCUCAGAGGUGC
ensembl:snoRNA SNORD116 Small nucleolar RNA SNORD116